UUAAGCGACUAAGCGUACACGGUGGAUGCCCUGGCAGUCAGAGGCGAUGAAGGACGUGCUAAUCUGCGAUAAGCGUCGGUAAGGUGAUAUGAACCGUUAUAACCGGCGAUUUCCGAAUGGGGAAACCCAGUGUGUUUCGACACACUAUCAUUAACUGAAUCCAUAGGUUAAUGAGGCGAACCGGGGGAACUGAAACAUCUAAGUACCCCGAGGAAAAGAAAUCAACCGAGAUUCCCCCAGUAGCGGCGAGCGAACGGGGAGCAGCCCAGAGCCUGAAUCAGUGUGUGUGUUAGUGGAAGCGUCUGGAAAGGCGCGCGAUACAGGGUGACAGCCCCGUACACAAAAAUGCACAUGCUGUGAGCUCGAUGAGUAGGGCGGGACACGUGGUAUCCUGUCUGAAUAUGGGGGGACCAUCCUCCAAGGCUAAAUACUCCUGACUGACCGAUAGUGAACCAGUACCGUGAGGGAAAGGCGAAAAGAACCCCGGCGAGGGGAGUGAAAAAGAACCUGAAACCGUGUACGUACAAGCAGUGGGAGCACGCUUAGGCGUGUGACUGCGUACCUUUUGUAUAAUGGGUCAGCGACUUAUAUUCUGUAGCAAGGUUAACCGAAUAGGGGAGCCGAAGGGAAACCGAGUCUUAACUGGGCGUUAAGUUGCAGGGUAUAGACCCGAAACCCGGUGAUCUAGCCAUGGGCAGGUUGAAGGUUGGGUAACACUAACUGGAGGACCGAACCGACUAAUGUUGAAAAAUUAGCGGAUGACUUGUGGCUGGGGGUGAAAGGCCAAUCAAACCGGGAGAUAGCUGGUUCUCCCCGAAAGCUAUUUAGGUAGCGCCUCGUGAAUUCAUCUCCGGGGGUAGAGCACUGUUUCGGCAAGGGGGUCAUCCCGACUUACCAACCCGAUGCAAACUGCGAAUACCGGAGAAUGUUAUCACGGGAGACACACGGCGGGUGCUAACGUCCGUCGUGAAGAGGGAAACAACCCAGACCGCCAGCUAAGGUCCCAAAGUCAUGGUUAAGUGGGAAACGAUGUGGGAAGGCCCAGACAGCCAGGAUGUUGGCUUAGAAGCAGCCAUCAUUUAAAGAAAGCGUAAUAGCUCACUGGUCGAGUCGGCCUGCGCGGAAGAUGUAACGGGGCUAAACCAUGCACCGAAGCUGCGGCAGCGACGCUUAUGCGUUGUUGGGUAGGGGAGCGUUCUGUAAGCCUGCGAAGGUGUGCUGUGAGGCAUGCUGGAGGUAUCAGAAGUGCGAAUGCUGACAUAAGUAACGAUAAAGCGGGUGAAAAGCCCGCUCGCCGGAAGACCAAGGGUUCCUGUCCAACGUUAAUCGGGGCAGGGUGAGUCGACCCCUAAGGCGAGGCCGAAAGGCGUAGUCGAUGGGAAACAGGUUAAUAUUCCUGUACUUGGUGUUACUGCGAAGGGGGGACGGAGAAGGCUAUGUUGGCCGGGCGACGGUUGUCCCGGUUUAAGCGUGUAGGCUGGUUUUCCAGGCAAAUCCGGAAAAUCAAGGCUGAGGCGUGAUGACGAGGUACUACGGUGCUGAAGCAACAAAUGCCCUGCUUCCAGGAAAAGCCUCUAAGCAUCAGGUAACAUCAAAUCGUACCCCAAACCGACACAGGUGGUCAGGUAGAGAAUACCAAGGCGCUUGAGAGAACUCGGGUGAAGGAACUAGGCAAAAUGGUGCCGUAACUUCGGGAGAAGGCACGCUGAUAUGUAGGUGAAGUCCCUUGCGGAUGGAGCUGAAAUCAGUCGAAGAUACCAGCUGGCUGCAACUGUUUAUUAAAAACACAGCACUGUGCAAACACGAAAGUGGACGUAUACGGUGUGACGCCUGCCCGGUGCCGGAAGGUUAAUUGAUGGGGUCAGCGGCAACGCGAAGCUCUUGAUCGAAGCCCCGGUAAACGGCGGCCGUAACUAUAACGGUCCUAAGGUAGCGAAAUUCCUUGUCGGGUAAGUUCCGACCUGCACGAAUGGCGUAAUGAUGGCCAGGCUGUCUCCACCCGAGACUCAGUGAAAUUGAACUCGCUGUGAAGAUGCAGUGUACCCGCGGCAAGACGGAAAGACCCCGUGAACCUUUACUAUAGCUUGACACUGAACAUUGAGCCUUGAUGUGUAGGAUAGGUGGGAGGCUUUGAAGUGUGGACGCCAGUCUGCAUGGAGCCGACCUUGAAAUACCACCCUUUAAUGUUUGAUGUUCUAACGUUGACCCGUGAUCCGGGUUGCGGACAGUGUCUGGUGGGUAGUUUGACUGGGGCGGUCUCCUCCUAAAGAGUAACGGAGGAGCACGAAGGUUGGCUAAUCCUGGUCGGACAUCAGGAGGUUAGUGCAAUGGCAUAAGCCAGCUUGACUGCGAGCGUGACGGCGCGAGCAGGUGCGAAAGCAGGUCAUAGUGAUCCGGUGGUUCUGAAUGGAAGGGCCAUCGCUCAACGGAUAAAAGGUACUCCGGGGAUAACAGGCUGAUACCGCCCAAGAGUUCAUAUCGACGGCGGUGUUUGGCACCUCGAUGUCGGCUCAUCACAUCCUGGGGCUGAAGUAGGUCCCAAGGGUAUGGCUGUUCGCCAUUUAAAGUGGUACGCGAGCUGGGUUUAGAACGUCGUGAGACAGUUCGGUCCCUAUCUGCCGUGGGCGCUGGAGAACUGAGGGGGGCUGCUCCUAGUACGAGAGGACCGGAGUGGACGCAUCACUGGUGUUCGGGUUGUCAUGCCAAUGGCACUGCCCGGUAGCUAAAUGCGGAAGAGAUAAGUGCUGAAAGCAUCUAAGCACGAAACUUGCCCCGAGAUGAGUUCUCCCUGACCCUUUAAGGGUCCUGAAGGAACGUUGAAGACGACGACGUUGAUAGGCCGGGUGUGUAAGCGCAGCGAUGCGUUGAGCUAACCGGUACUAAUGAACCGUGAGGCUUAACCUU
rnacentral:rRNA from 1 species